rnacentral:rRNA from 1 species
UACAGAGGUGGCAAGCGUUGUUCGGAAUUACUGGGCGUAAAGGGCGCGUAGGCGCCUACUAAGUCAGACAUGAAAUCCCCGGGCUUAACCUGGGAACUGCAUUUGGGACUGCAAGGCUUGAGUGCGGCAGAGGAGACUGGAAUUCCGUGGUGUAGCAGUGAAAUGCGUAGAUAUCAGGAGGAAUACCGAUGGCGAAGGCAGGUCUCUGGGCUGACACUGACGCUCAUGCACGAAAGCGUGGGGAGCAAACAGGAU